AAUGAAUGUCAAAAUUAUUGCUUGUUAAAAAAAGUGUUAAUAUUAAAAAAAAAAAUAAAUAAAUAAAUUGGUGUGGAUUUUUUGUAAAAUUCUGGUGUACUGUGACGGGCUGAUUCGUUGUCAUCAACUUGGGUCAUUUUCGUGGGUGGCCAGGCGUCCGACAAAUAAUUUCUGGAGCUUGAGCGCGUAUGUGCAUAAAGGUUCAAUGCCGGAUAUAUCAUAAAUAAUUCUACGUUCGUAAAUUUCCAAUUCUUUGGCUACUGUCGGGGAGAUAGUGAACCAUAUUGGAAAACCGUAAGUCAACACGGGUCUGAUAGCAACCUUAUAAAGCAAUAAUUUCGUAGCCUGGGGUAAAUGCUUGCUAUUCAAUAUAUAAGAAAAUGAACCUAAUAUCUUUUUCGUUUUUUGUAAUGUUGCUCGAGCGUGGGAAUUAAACUUCAACAUCUUGUCGAAUGUGAUGCCGAGGUACUUGACGCUUUGUUCUAUCGGAAUAUUGACUCCAUCCAAUAUGGCCCGGGAUUUGGCUGCGUUAAUCUUUAUGCCCCAUGUUUUGUAAUAAUCAUUUAUGACGCUGAGGUGUCGUGCAGCUUUAGCCAGGGCAAUUUCUGGAGAAACAUCAUGGGCAUAAAUAAGGCAAUCAUCUGCGUAUAGAAUGGCCUGGGAGUAUUGUGUUGUAUGUGGAAAGUCGGACAGGAAGAUAUUGAAGAGAUGGGGCGCAAGGACGCUUCCUUGAGGCACCCCACUGUUGACGAAGCCAAAGGAUGAUGCUGUGCCCCGAAUAUCGACACAAAAUCUACGGUUGGCGAAGAAAUUUGACAUCAAUUUAAUCAGAACAUGUUCAAAUAUUUUUCCAAUGUUUGACAACAAUGAGAUCGGACGAAAAUCAGACGGGGUUUUUGCAUCGGCUUUCUUUUUUAUUGGGAUAAUUUUUGCAACUUUCCACUCAGAUGGAAAGUACCCGUUGUUGAUGCAGUGGUUGAAUAUAAAGGGUUGGUAAAAUGAAGAUCGUCAUGGUUAUGAAGGGCGUUGAGAUCGAGAUCAAAGUUGAAGAUAUGGCGUGGAAUGACAUCGACACAGUUUGAUACUUUUGGUAGUAAGUCAUCAACAGGAUUUGUAGGCAAACGUUGGCAGAAUGUAUCAGAGUAAAACUCUUGGAAUUGUUGGGCGAUGUCUAAGCUAUUGGUUUGAUGGCGAAGAUGGCAGUAGUCGGCAUGAAGCAUCGUUGAUAUCCUGGAUGAACUCGGCCCAGUUCGUGUCUUUAUAAGAUGUAUAGGUGCGUGGAAUUCUCAUUAGCAAUUCCGGGUGAUCUACACGAAGAGACAGUUUGAUGGGGAAGUGGUCCGAGAAGGACGGCAAGGUUGAUAUUUCGAAAUUUGGGACAUUUCGAUUUAAAAGAUGUGGGCUAACGAGGAAAUGGUCUAAAUAUGAUAGACCAUUCGGAUAUGAUGGGGAUGAGUCACAGAUUCGGACAACAUCUAGACUGUUAUCCUCAAGCCAAUUGCGCAAUAUUUUACCGUUUGAGUUUUCAAGGUGGUCACCCCAAACUGGGCUCUUUGAGUUUAAAUCUCCACCAAGAAUGAAUCCAUCGAAGCUCUUACAAAGUUGGAUUAAUUUGGAAAGGUCUGCCUCCAACUUUUGUGCCGGAUAAUUACAUUGGACGUAGAGAGAUCCAAUUAAAAAUUUGUUGUUGUUUGAAAACUCUAUCUGGACAAGGGAAACAUGUAUGCCAACAUCAUUUAAAAAGACUCGAUCAUACCCAAUCUGGUUCCUGAUGACAACGGCGACUCCAAGAGGUGGCAUUCCUGUAUGAAGCCGAUAUCAAUUCUGUUGAGGUGCAGUGUGUCCUUAAGAUCUAUUUGACGACUGAUGUCAGUGAGGGAUCUUACGUUGAAGGAGGCGCAAAAACUCUGCUUUGGCCUCGACCUUGGUCAUGUUCGCAUACUCAGAGAGAAAUAUAUUCACCUCCUGUUCCAGUGUCAACUCUUCGGGCUCCAAAAAAAGGGAAGCCAGUUUCAAAAACUGGUCUAUUGCUGGCGGCUUUUGUUGCUGUGCUCCAGGUUGCGCUGAACGCUGGUGAAAAAGGUUCGAGAAAGUCUGCCCUGGGGUUAUUGCGGACAUACCGACAGCUCUGUUAACAUUGGCCUUUGCGAGAGAUCUCUCCUCGAUGGCCUUUGAAAUCCUUUGCCUACGAGCAACAGCAUAUUUCUUAAAUGUUGGACAUCCACGCCAGUUUGCCGGAUGACCUGCCUCACUACAAUUAUUACAAUAGGGUUCUGAAGAAUCCUCUUUUCUCCUUUGACACUCGCCUGGGCCAUGAUUCUGGUCACAUUUAACGCAUUUGUACGCAGAAUUGCAGUUCCGCGAAACGUGACCCCACCGUUGACACCUAUGGCACUGAAUUUCCGAGUCCUUCUUCUUCGGCCUCUCCCAUGUAAUAAUUUGGUUUUGUAGCCCUUUGAUAUUAGCAAUAUCAGAGAGUGCUUUUCCUGGCAGUAAUGAAACUAAGAAAAGACCAGUUGUCUGCAAUGAGACCUCUCAGUACAAAUGAUGGUUGUUUAAGUUCUUUCGGUGUAAAUGAAUAUGAAUGAACUCCCUUUUCACGCAAUAUCGCCAUCAUUGAGGAGUGGACGGAAGAAUCAGCAAAAAAAAUCUUACUUUUAUUUUUAUUGAUAUUCUUUACCUUAAAAGAAAAUAUCGGAAUUGUUUUCCUUAAGGAGUCGACGAGAGUUUUAAUAUUUACAUUAAAAAGGAAGAUAGGUGGACACCAUUUUGGCUUUUGUCCGCUGUUGUUGUCA